GACGAAGAACGUAGCGAAAUGCGAUAAGUAAUGCGAAUUGCAGAAUUUCCGUGAGUCAUCGAAUCUUUGAACGCACAUUGCGCCCAUUGGCAUUCCGAUGGGCAUGCCUGUUCGAGCGUCAUUAUCCUCCCUCAAACCCCUGGGUUUGGUGUUGGACUCUGUGGUGCGCGGGCACCACUGGUCUCAAAGACAAUGACGGCGUCCGUGGGACCCUCGGUGCAACGAGCUUUUCGAAGCACGCGUCGAGUGGACAAGUCUCUCCGGGCCGGUCACCUCUCCAAUUUUUUUCUCAGGUUGACCUCGGAUCAGGUAGGAAUACCCGCUGAACUUAAGCAUAUCAAUAAGCGGAGGA
rnacentral:misc_RNA from 1 species